UACGUAGGGAGCAAGCGUUGUCCGGAAUCAUUGGGCGUAAAGCGCGCGUAGGCGGCCCUGUAAGUCCGUUGUGAAAGUCAAAGGCUCAACCUUUGAAAGCCGAUGGAUACUGCAGGGCUAGAGUCCGGAAGAGGCGAGUGGAAUUCCUGGUGUAGCGGUGGAAUGCGCAGAUAUCAGGAGGAACACCGGUGGCGAAGGCGGCUCUCUGGGUCGGCCCUGACGCUGAGGCGCGAAAGCGUGGGGAGCGAACGGG
rnacentral:rRNA from 1 species